UUUCUGUAAAUUUACACCCAGAUUCCAACAUUAUUCACCUGUUUCCUUCAAUAAACAGGACUUUCCAGUCAUUAGUAAGACAAAUGUGUAAAAUCAGGCUCCAACACUGUUAUUUACCACGCCCGUAAUGUUUAUUCUGGAACACACGUACUUCCUGUUAUCUAUUAAUGUUACCUUCGAGCUGGUGAUGGGAAGCUGUCUGCUGAGAGAAGACGAUACGUUGGAAUCAUACCCAAACCCAUCAACACAAUAAGGGAUGUGCGACUGUAGCUGAUGUUGAGUCUUCCAAGCCUACCUGUGACGCCUCGCCUGAUAUUACUAGGUGAACGACAAGGUAAUCAUCAAAAGUGGAUGGUCGGCAUUGAAUCCUUAAUCGUUUGUGAAGGGUCCAACCUCGCCACAUUUCUAACAGGGAUUGUGACAUGUUUCUCCACCUUCUAUAUUCUGAAUCUGCAAUAUCAGGAGGAGGCAGCGUGCACCCUUGAAUUCUUCCAGAGAAAAAGGCCCACAAUUGAUAAUUGAUAAAUAUCUGAUUAUUCUGUAUCUGAUUUUGAAAUAGUACUACUUUAGAUAACAUGUCUACAUUUUACAUACAUAUGUGAUACACAAGCCUAAUGCGAUGUUUUUAUUUUCCAUGAUAAUUCUUUUGUACCUUAUUUCCGAUUUUUUGAAAUACAACUAGAUCACGUGUCUACAUUUUACAUUCAUCCGUGAUACACGAGCCUAAUGCGAUGUUUUUGUUUUUCAUGAUAAUUCUUCUGUACCUUAUUCCUUAUUUUUUGAAAUACGAUUUUCAAAAUACUACUAGAUAGCAUGUCUACAUUUUAAACGGGCCUAAUGCAAUGUAUUUGUUUUCCAUUGUAAUUCCUCUGUAUCCUAUUACCUGUUCUUUGAAAUCCGAUUUUCAAAAUACUACUAUGUAUCUACAUUUUACAUUCAUACAUGAUACACGAGCCUAAUGCGAUGUUUUUAUUUUCCAUGAUAAUUCUUCUGUGUCUUAUUCCCUGAUCCUGAAAUACGAUUAUAGUCAGUCUACAUGUUCCUGAAUUACUAUUUACUAUUAUCUUGCUUCAUGUCCCUUCAUCUACUUUACUGUUAGACUGUCAAGUAAGUGCUGUGAAAUAAAAUAUCUGUUAAACUACAAAUAAGUAACUGAUGUGAAAAAAUGGAUUUUUAUCUUUAAAAUGUUGAUUUGAGAGUGGAUGAACUCAAUAUAUGGCACUUGUUUCCUGUAAUUGUAAAAAAUUAAAGACCUGUUGUGUAACUAA